UCUUGUGUGCUCUCAAGAGCACAAAGCCCGUUGUGCUCCUGAGCCGUUUUCGAUGAUGGAACUUCCGAAUCGACGAUCGGCUCCGCUAGACUUGAUCUAGCGCAUUUGAAGUUUCUAGAAAAUAAUUUUUGCGAUUUUUUGAUACCAUUUACCUAGUGAUCAAAAGGAUUCAAAAUCAAUAAUUUUUAAUGGUUGAUAUCUUUCGUUUUUAAAUUUAAUGGUGUAGAAAUAUUCAAAUCAGAUGAAAUUUUGAUACAAAAUUCUUUAUACUAUCUAUAACGAGAUCAAUAUUUCUGAUCGAAAAUUUUAGUGCUAUAUCACCACUUUUUAUAGAAUUUUUAUUUUUAGCCGUUAAAAAUUAUAGAUUUUGAAUCAUUUCGAUUGCUAGGUAAAUGAUAUCGAAAAAUCGCAAAAAUUAUUUUCUAGAAACUUCAAAUACGCUAGAUCAAGUCUAACGGAGCCGAUCGUCGAUUCGAAAAUCUAAUCAUCAAAAACGGCUCAGGAGCACGGAGGCCUCCGUGCUCCUGAGAGCAUAGCAGUCCUGCUCUAUAUGAGUAGGUCUUGUGUGCUCUCAGGAGCACAAAGCCCUUUGUGCUCCUGAGCCGUUUUCGAUGAUGGGACUUCCGAAUCGACGAUCGGCUCCGCUAGACUUGAUCUAGCGCACUUGAAGUUUCUAGAAAAUAAUUUUUGCGAUUUUUUGAUACCAUUUACCUAGUGAUCGAAAGGAUUCAAAAUCAAUAAUUUUUAAAGGUUGAUAUCUGUCGUUUUCAAGUUUAACGAUGUAGAAGUAUUCAAAUCAGAUGAAAUUUUGAUACAA
rnacentral:lncRNA from 1 species